UGGGGAAUAUUGGACAAUGGGCGCAAGCCUGAUCCAGCCAUGCCGCGUGAGUGAUGAAGGCCCUAGGGUUGUAAAGCUCUUUCGCCAGGGACGAUAAUGACGGUACCUGGAUAAGAAGCCCCGGCUAACUUCGUGCCAGCAGCCGCGGUAAUACGAAGGGGGCUAGCGUUGUUCGGAAUCACUGGGCGUAAAGCGCACGUAGGCGGAUCUUUAAGUCAGGGGUGAAAUCCCGAGGCUCAAACCUCGGAACUGCCUUUGAUACUGGAAGUCUCGAGUCCGGGAGAGGUGAGUGGAACUGCGAGUGUAGAGGUGAAAUUCAGUAGAUAUUCGCAAGAACACCAGUGGCGAAGGCGGCUCACUGGCCCGGUACUGACGCUGAGGUGCGAAAAGCGUGGGGAGCAAAACAGGAUUAGAUACCCUGGUAGUCCACGCCGUAAAACUAUGGAUGCUAGCCGUUGGGCAGCUUGCUGUUCAGUGGCGCAGCUAACGCUUUAAGCAUCCCGCCUGGGGGAGUACGGUCGCAAGAUUAAAAACUCAAAUGAAUUGACGGGGUCAUAGCUGUUUCCU
rnacentral:rRNA from 1 species